UUGGAUACAGUAUACUUUAUUGAUGGUACAUGAUAAGGUAGGGCUCCUCAAGCCCCUCCCCUUCUUCAGGGGGUCUGGGAUGGAAACUGGAGGUCAGGAGAUUCUCAAGUGUGUUGGGUACUGAACUGGGGCAAGGAAUCCCCAGCAGCUGAGGGCCUCUCUCUUCUUCUUCCUCUUGCUGGGGCUGGUGAUCCAGGGGGCUUUUACUCCUUGGAGGCCAUGUGGACCAUAAGAUCCACCACCUGGUUGCUGUAGCCAAAUUCAUUGUCAUACCAGGAAAUGAGCUUGACAAAGUGGUCACUGAGCACAAUGUCAGCCCCAGCGUCGAAGGUGGAAGAGUGGGUGUCACUGUUAAAGUCGCAGGAGAUGACCUGGUCCUCAGCAUAGCCCAGGAUGCCCUUGAGGGGGCCCUCUGAUGCCUGCUUCACCACCUUCUUGAUGUCUUCGUAUUUGGCAGCUUUCUCCAGGAAGCAGGU
rnacentral:lncRNA from 1 species